rnacentral:rRNA from 1 species
GAUGAACGCUGGCGGCGUGCCUAAUACAUGCAAGUCGAGCGAACGGACGAGAAGCUUGCUUCUCUGAUGUUAGCGGCGGACGGGUGAGUAACACGUGGAUAACCUACCUAUAAGACUGGGAUAACUUCGGGAAACCGGAGCUAAUACCGGAUAAUAUUUUGAACCGCAUGGUUCAAAAGUGAAAGACGGUCUUGCUGUCACUUAUAGAUGGAUCCGCGCUGCAUUAGCUAGUUGGUAAGGUAACGGCUUACCAAGGCAACGAUGCAUAGCCGACCUGAGAGGGUGAUCGGCCACACUGGAACUGAGACACGGUCCAGACUCCUACGGGAGGCAGCAGUAGGGAAUCUUCCGCAAUGGGCGAAAGCCUGACGGAGCAACGCCGCGUGAGUGAUGAGGGUCUUCGGAUCGUAAAACUCUGUUAUUAGGGAAGAACAUAUGUGUAAGUAACUGUGCACAUCUUGACGGUACCUAAUCAGAAAGCCACGGCUAACUACGU